GCAUCCAUCGUAUAUCGGCUAUUAUAAUUGGCUUCCACCCAAUAGAACGGAGUUCGACCCUCCGUGGAUGCU
rnacentral:tRNA from 1 species